GACGGAGGGUGCAAGCGUUGUUCGGAUUGACUGGGCGUAAAGGGCGUGUAGGCGGUCGGCCAAGUCUGAUGUGAAAGCCCGAGGCUCAGCCUCGGAAGUGCGUCGGAAACUAGUCGGCUGGAGCGCGAUAGAGGAGGGUGGAAUUCCUGGUGUAGCGGUGAAAUGCGUAGAUAUCAGGAGGAACACCGGCGGCGAAGGCGGCCCUCUGGAGCGUUGCUGACGCUGAUACGCGAAAGCGUGGGGAGCAAACAGG
rnacentral:rRNA from 1 species